UUGCCGGCGACCGGCGCACGGGUGAGUAACGCGUAUCCAACCUUCCGUACACUCAGGGAUAGCCUUUCGAAAGAAAGAUUAAUACCUGAUGGUAUGAUGAGAUUGCAUGAUAGCAUCAUUAAAGAUUUAUCGGUGUACGAUGGGGAUGCGUUCCAUUAGGUAGUAGGCGGGGUAACGGCCCACCUAGCCAACGAUGGAUAGGGGUUCUGAGAGGAAGGUCCCCCACAUUGGAACUGAGACACGGUCCAAACUCCUACGGGAGGCAGCAGUGAGGAAUAUUGGUCAAUGGACGAGAGUCUGAACCAGCCAAGUAGCGUGAAGGAUGAAGGUCCUACGGAUUGUAAACUUCUUUUAUAAGGGAAUAAACCCUCCCACGUGUGGGAGCUUGUAUGUACCUUAUGAAUAAGCAUCGGCUAACUCCGUGCCAGCAGCCGCGGUAAUACGGAGGAUGCGAGCGUUAUCCGGAUUUAUUGGGUUUAAAGGGAGCGCAGACGGGUCGUUAAGUCAGCUGUGAAAGUUUGGGGCUCAACCUUAAAAUUGCAGUUGAUACUGGCGUCCUUGAGUGCGGUUGAGGUGUGCGGAAUUCGUGGUGUAGCGGUGAAAUGCUUAGAUAUCACGAAGAACUCCGAUUGCGAAGG
rnacentral:rRNA from 1 species